GAUUCUAACUCCUGUGUGUUUUCUCCAAAAACUGUAUUUCAGCCACUAUUUUCAUUGUGUCAUGCAUAUAUCAUUUUGGAUCCUGUUAUUUUAUUAGUAUUUUACCAGAAAUGUUCAUCCUCAUUUUCUCAAUGAUCAUAUUAAAUUUUAUUUAUAAUAUCAUCUUUCUUUUAACACAAUUAAAUGACCUAAACCAGAUUUCAAUAAGAGCAAGUUAAGAAUAUUUUUUCUUCAGUUAGUAUAGAAUCUUGGCUUCUCAAAGAAGUAUCUUGAAAGUGAAAUAUAAAAUAGAACAAUUAUGGACAAGGUCACCAUGAGACAGAAACACACAUUAAUUUUAUAGACAUGGUUGCUGCUAAGUGUUUUACAUGAUGUUUAGAGAGCAUUCACUUUCCUGUUUUAAUUGAACUUGGAAGUUUUGUUUAUGUCAAAAUUUGCAUAAGUUUCUUAAUUUUUCCUAGCCCUUCUAAGAUCCACAUUGUCUCAAAAUCCAAGUUAAAAAUGAGGUACGUGAUGCAUAGUAAUGUGUGGCCAGCAUGUGAAUAGUUCGGACUUUUUGCAUACAUUGAGAAAUAAAUAGACAUCCCCUGAACAGUCUCAACUUUCAGCCUAAUUCAGCAAUGCUCCUUCUACCCUUUGCUUCUGUUGUGACGCCAAUGGGUAUAUCAGUGAAAAAGAUGAAAAAUUCUUUGCCAUUAUGGGUUUGUGCCCCUCGAGAAAUAGUUCAGAGGACCCUUGAAGAAAGAAAUGAAUGGAAUGUAUCAGGCUAAUGUGAAAAUACAAUAUUAGUGAUUGUUAGAGGACAGUGUUUUGCCUGUAACAUUUUAAGUGUAAUUUUGUGUUUGUGUGUAUGCUGGGUGAGGACAAAAUGGUAGACUUUGGACUUACAAGCUGAUUUUCAACUUCAUAAAAAGUUAAUGUUCUUACCAGCUUUGUGCUAGGCACACAUGGAUAAGUAGGCUAAACCAGGUCUAGUUCCCAUAAUCAGGAGGGUUAUAAUUUAAUGCACAGAAUGUAUUUUUUUUCAGUAUACAGUCCCUUUCACUAAAUAAUAGUCUGAGUUCAUUCCCUAGGAUAUUUUAUAUUUACUAUAAAUUAUAUGCACAUGCUUUGUAAAGUUUUCUUUUUUGAAUGUUGGAACUAAAAAAAGUCAAUAAAUAUUCUAAAAAGUCUAACUUUUUUCCCCAUGUCAAUACACUGCAGGACUUGUAUAUUCUUUUUCAAAUAUUCAUAAUGUGUCACUCUAGUGGUAAAGUAUAAAAUAGCCUAUUGCCUUGAGGAACUUCAGAUGGGCACGCAUUUUAUACCUAAGCCAGGUUAGAAGCUUUUAAUCAAGAGAAUAUUUGAAAGUUAAAUCAAGCCAGGCGUGGUGGCUCACACUUGUAAUCCCAGCAUUUUGAGAGGCUGAGGUAGGAGAGUCUCUUGAGCCUGGGAGGUGAAGGUUGUGGUGAGCCAAGAUCGUGCCACUGCACCUGCACUCCAGUCUGGGCAACAGAGUGAGACCCUUUCCC
rnacentral:lncRNA from 10 species